CCUACGAGUGGCAGCAGUGGGGAAUAUUGCACAAUGGGCGCAAGCCUGAUGCAGCCAUGCCGCGUGUAUGAAGAAGGCCUUCGGGUUGUAAAGUACUUUCAGCGGGGAGGAAGGGAGUAAAGUUAAUACCUUUACUCAUUGACGUUACCCGCAAAAGAACCACCGGCUCACUCCGUGCCAGCAGCCUCGGGAAUAAGGAGGGUGCAAGCGUUAGUCGGAAUUACUGGGCGUAAAGCGCACGCAGGCGGUUUGUUAAGUCAGAUGUGAAAUCCCCGGGCUCAACCUGGGAACUGCAUCUGAUACUGGCGAGAUUGAGUAGAGUAGAGGGGGGUAGAAUGCGAGGUGUAGCGGUGAAAUGCGUAGAGAGCAGGAGGAAUACCGGUGGCGAAGGCGGCCCCCUGGACGAAGACUGACGCUGAGGUGCGAAAGCGUGGGGAGCAAACAGGAUUAGAUACCCGAGUAGUC
rnacentral:rRNA from 1 species